AUCCGCUGCCGCAACUCCGUCGCCGCCUGCGCCGCUGCCUCCGCCCCCACAUCGAGCAAGGACGCCACUGCCUCGUCCGCUCCGCUGCCACAACUCCGCCACCUCCACGUCGCAGAAGGCCCCUUCCCAUUCGGUCGGGCACGCCCCCACCAGCUCGGCCCUGUCCUGCGCUGCCGUAAUCCUCUGUUGCUGUUGUCUUAGGAUGUGGUAGCAGGUUCAGUUUUCACACAUGGAUGGUCAAGGCGUUGGCGAGGAGCGUGAAGAGUAUCGCCUCAUGAUUAGCAAGACCUUGAGAAGUGAGGAGGAAGGAUAUCAGUUCUGCAAUGAGUAUCGGAUGAGACCACUACCUCGUGUAUAUGGCCGCAUGAGAUUUAACUAAAUUUGUGUUACAAUUCAACUUUCUGAUGAAUGAUGUUGGUCAGGUGAUGGUCUGUGCAAGUUGAGUUUUGUAAGACUACUGUCUGAUUGUGCUUCGGCGGAGUCAUCAUUCCAGAAAAGGGCUGGCAUGUGUACAUAUGUACCAUUCACAUAGAAAUUAGCUUAUUCUGUGAUAUACUUCCAGAAUUUUGAGCAAUCAGAUGAGUUUGCAUCCUGUAUUAGAAGGAUUGUGUGUGAUGUAUACUGUUGUAAAUGAUUGUAACCACAUUGUUUUGCUCAUGAAUAAAGUUAUCUCUGUGAGUUGUGAGAAAUUUUGUA